GAAACAGAAGCGGUAGUCCGUUGUCUUUGUCUCGUGAGUUGGUGACGUGAACCGUCUCGGUGUACCUGGCAGGAGGAGCGUCCGCUUGUGUUUUUGCUGGAUAACAAUAACAUUACCUUCAGUGGUAGCUUCCGCGAGUAAGCUUUGGAUGGAGCUGAUUUUAUACUGACAUAAACACGUUGGUGUGAGACAGUUCUCUAUCCAGAGGUUUAGGAACUCGGUCUGUCGAGUUAUUUGAUGCUAAUACGGAGAGCUAGCUGUGUCUGACAGGCACACUCAAGCUAAUGUCGAUGAAGGCAUGAGGAGAGGCGCAGUGUGUUUCUGGAGACGCUGAAAAAAGUUUAUUGAGCAGUAACUUUAGAGUUAGAUGACUGACGUCACAAGCCUUGGCCAACUCAACUUAUUCACAUAGUAGCUAGCCGGUGCUAACUUGCUUAUUAAGCAUAUUUGAUGGUAAUGCUGAGUUAAGACACAUAGAAGAGAAGCUUAUAAAUGCCAAUAAGGGCACUGUAAGUCAUUGAAGGAGGGGGGGGGUCACCCCUUGUUUCUGUUUACUGCUCAAACACACCCACAGGUGUGUCUAUGGUUUGAGGACGUCAUUUUGCCCAGACCCGAGUCCUUGCGAACAAGUAUUACAACUUCCCAACUAAACUGGCAGCACAUGCCUGCUUUUCCAGUUAGCUCUCAGGGCUGCCUGGCCAACUGAAGCAAGAGGAGCUGAGAACUGAAUGUCUGCUGGUUUUAAUUCAAUUCCAACAAGCUCGGCGAGGAAGCAUGACAGCUGUCGUAGGCAGAGCAUGGGGGUGGGUGCGCUCAUGGGCCAGCAGUGCCGUCUCAGAAAAUACCACAACAGUGAUAGCUGAGGGCCAGAAGCAUGGCUGUGGCAGCCAGGGCGUCAGGGGCUGGACCUCCUGGAUCUGGGGCGGACGGAAAUGUCAAAGUGACCAAAGUAGUUCAGUAGAGGAGUACUGGGAGGCACAGGAGAAGCUUCAGCCCAUGGAAAUCGAAGAUCUCAGCGCAGUGAAACCAGAGACAAUGACAAAAUCACAGCAUGUUUAUAGAUGGUGGAAUAAAUAUCUCCCAACCUCUUACCUUUUGUGGCCGAGGAAAACGGAGCCAAGCAGACAAAGGGGAAGGCGGCGUUACGGUCAGAGUGCAGAUGUGUGGGACCGUGAUAUUGAUGAAGACUUUUCUGACUACGGAACGCCUCCUCCAUCUCCUACACCUCCUUCCUCUCAGCUGACAUCUCCUUUCCGACUGUUUGUAAACAGCUGGAAGGUUGAAAUCCUACCAGAACACCACGAGAUCUGUUUCAACUUCCUCCGCCACUUGUUCGACCUGUUUGUCGUUGGCUUCCUGUGGACUGUGUCCCCCCCUGCCAAACUGAUCCUGGAGGUGUUGGGGGUCCAGGGAGCUCUAAGGCUGUGGUUUCAUGGUAUGGCCAUGUUUUUUGUCUCCACAGUUGGAAUGGCAGGAUUACUUUGGUUAAUCCAGGAGUAUCUCCCUCAGUUUGCGCUGAUCUAUGGCAUCAUACAGGCAGUGGUGAUCUCUGUCAGUGUUCGGCAGAGUGUGAUCCUCGGCGUAGAGGAAGAAAAAGCAGAAAAGGAUGUGGAGGCCAAGGAGCCUGAUGAAAUGAAAGACAGUAGGGAACAUAAAGAAGCUUGUGUCCGUAAAAGACAAGCUGAAGACAAGUUAAACUUAAGUAACACAGUGAACUGCUCCAACCAGGCCUGACAGGCCAAGAAACACAAGCAGUGGGAUGAUCAGACAGGUUGGAAACCAACCGAGGUUUGGUGAGUCCAAAACAACGUGGAGAAAGACAUCAACUGCCCUGGUACUCUCUCCUGUAGUUUAAUGGUGAGAAGCAGCUGUCUGUUCAGGAGUCCACCAUCAUCAUCAGUCCACCUGUAUCCUCGAGUGUUUGACAUCACAGCAGUGGGACUACACAGAGAUUGUUGCCUGCACCACUGUGUUCUGCCGUGUAACUUAAGAAUUGUGUUGCACGCUCAUUACAGACUCAUAGAAGUUGUACUUGUGUCACUUUAUGUUCAACACUAAUGAUCUGCAUUUUAAAGAUGUUUGUCCUCACGCAGAAUGUUGACAUCGAUAGCCGUGCAAAGUUUAGUAUCACAAAGUCUCCCGCUCUAAUCGAGGUCAGGAAAGAAAGGGACCAAGAAUGUUCAAGAAAUGCCUUUAACUCAAGGAAGAGUUUUUCUGAGUUUAAACUUGUUUUCCACAGAGCCCCUGAAGUCCCAUAAGAUUAUAUUUUUUAUCUUGUGGGAACAAGAUAAUAACUUGCACAUGAUAAAAAUAAAAAAAAAAUCAUCUUAUGGGUCUUCUGGGGAUCUGUAGAUUUCUUAUGAUUCACCAGGGGACCAGGUGAUUGCCUUUGGUGCAUUCCAAAAAUACACAGCCUGAAUUAGUAGAAAUGUUAGGCAUCACCACCAGGAGGACAGAAAAGGCAACCCGAUACAAACCAUGGCAUUAAAUUGUAUGGUUAAACAGGUAAAAAGUUUUAUUUGAUUGAAAGAAGCAGGGUUUGAGGACAGGAGCCUUCAGAGCCUCACACGUUCACAGACAAAUCUGAGUACUACAAAAAAUAUCAGUUCCCCUGACAGUCAGGCUAGAAGGGAGGAAGAAAUGACCUGUUCUGAAGCUGGAAUUUGAGUUUUGAGUUUUCACCUAAGGUACAUGUUUCUCAUUACAUGUCUCCCCUGCAAAUAUGAACCCAUCUUUAAGUGAAGCUCAUAUGACAAAUUCAAGCAUGCGUUUCCUGUUCUGGUGCAAACUCUAGCUGACUCCGGUAGACUGCUUGAAUUUGUUCAUUGUUCAGCUUUGACCACUAGAAUCUGUCCCACUGUUUGGAAAAGGACAAGCAGUUAUUCUGUGUCCUUACCUAGUUUUGUUGAAUAGUACACUCCUGGACUACAGACUGCAACAUCAUCGUGUUUAACAGCCUGUGGUCACACUGCUUAAUAUUUAUUUACUUCUCACAUCAGACCUGUGACCUCACAUUCAUGUGCAGUGUCAUUUUGUUGAACAGAAGGCUAAUGUGAAUGUGCCUUUGCUGGAGUGAAAAAACAAAUUUGGUCAACAGAGAGGAAGUAGCAACCACCAAUGCUCUCUUAUAGGUUUAGACGCCUGUCAAUCAAGCACACACGGACAUUACUAAAUAUACUGUAUGAAAGCCAUAAGCUCUCCUUUACUCUUUAACCUCAAAUUGUGAUUCUUCAAAAUAAAAUGUGUGUUUUCAGACACAAAACUAAUUGAAUGGAUUUCAAUGGGGAUUUUUUUGUUGUCUCGGAACAAGCACCUAAUAGCCGCAGAGAAAGUGGCUUCAGUACUCGGCUGUGAUGGAUACUAUAAAUCAUCUGUUUUGUACUUUAUAUAUUUUCACACAUUGAACUGAAAAAGGAGUGUGCCUGGAAUGACCUGUGGAAGAGGCAUUUCCUGAAGACCUUAACACAUGCUGUACAUGGAUUACGUUACAUUGAGAUUUCUCAAAUAUGAACUGAAGAACAUGGCAACAAGAUGUAUCUGUUUAGAGAAGUGUUGACACUACCAGCAGCACGUUUUAGUGUGUUCACUGUACACACUUGUUUUUUUUGCCUGAUGUCAUUUUCUGUGCCAUGAUGUUGCUUGUUUAAAACUUUACUGGAUGUAGGCCUCACGUAUUUUAAUGGAUUUUUACUUGUCUUGCUUUAGAUGAAAUACCAACAUCUAAUUUGGUUUUAGUGCACAAUAGCAUGUUUUGCACUCAACACUCCUUACUUGUAUUACAGUCCGUACGAUGUGGAAGCCUGUGGCUGAUCAUAGAAAUGGAAGUCAUUUUAUUUAACAAAAAUUUUAGAAUACAAACAUUCAAAUCUAGUGUUCAUAAAUAUGUGUAACUACUGCAAAAUUAGAAUACAAACUUGAGUGACAAGCCAUUUGUGUAACACUGCCACAGUGACCUGAAAUUGAAUGUAAAAUCUCAGUGUCGUUUUCAAAUUGCCACACGGCAACCUAAACGUGAUAGAUUUUUAAACUGUUUAGAGCUGAAACAAUCAGUUGAUUGCAGAAAAUGAAUCUUGAUUAUUUUAUGUUUGAUUGUUGAGCCAAACAUUGCCUAGUUUCAGCUUUUCAGUUGUGAGUUUGCUGCAUUUCUUUGUUUUAUGUGAUAGUAAGUUAACUAUCUUUGGGUUUUGAAUCGUGUGGCAAAGCAAGCCAUUGUGAAAAUGACACCUUGGGGUUUAGGAAAUUGUGAUGGGCAUAUUUCUGUAUUUUUUGACAUCUUAUAGAUAAUAAAAUAAUUGGCAGAUAAAUCCAUAAUCAAAAAUGUUAUUUGCAACCCUAUAUCAAUUGAAAUAUUCUUUUGAUAUAUAUUGUGACUAAUUAAAUGAAAUGUAAUAGUGUUUUUUAUGGCCAAUUUAUAAUAGUUGAGUCUAACAGAUUUCAUAGAAGAGGCCUGUAAGCUUCCAUCUUUUAAUUUCAUUAGUAACAAGCUGAAAGUCCAAAGUGCACUUUGAUUUUCAAGUUUAGGUUUCACAUUAUCUGUCAAUUUUAUUUUCAAUUUCAUUUUUAUUGUGAUGUUAUGCUAAGGAGUAAACUGAACAUUUUGUCAUUUGUUCUUCCUAAUUUUGUAAGAAUUUGUGAAUUUCCAAACAUUAAAAUUAGAUUUUGAAAUUGUAAUUAAAAGAUUUUAUGGAAAACUACAUUUUAAUUUGAUUAGAAGGUUUCAUUUUAAUAUGAGCAGCUAGAGACUUCCAUUGUGAGAAUCCUCAACUUGGGCUUUUUUAUAUUGCACCAAAUUUCUAUUAACAAUCAUUCCCAAGGAGGUGAUACAAUGUAUACAACUCUCUGUUGCCUUUAUUCAUUUGCUUAUGUGGAUCUUUUAUCGCAGUAUAUUAAUGCGGUAAUCCCUUGUAAAUAAAGCUAUUUUUAUAUGAGCAGUAAACACACCUAACAAGUGCAGGAUCACUGGAGCUGAAGAAACUGGCUUGUUUCCUUUAAUACCCCUGGUGUCAUUUUAAAUAAAGGAAGGCAGUAUCUGCUGUGACCCAUUACUGUACAUCUAAUUUAUAGCCACUUUGAACCCAACACUACACUGAGGUUAACUGAUUCUACUGGCGUAAAUAAAACUGAUGGUCUUUUAUUAAAUUUUCUUGGUUUUGAUUUCCUACGCGUUGUUUUUAAAAUCCAACAUAAAAUGAAACAAAUGCAGUUAUGGUAUGUUGAUUAUGCUGGACUGAAUUUUUCAGCAGAGAGUAUAAAAUGAUCUAGCCGAAGAGUCCUGGUUUUGCAUGUUGUUGUAAAUUUCAGAGAUUACAUAAAGUCAUUUUUGAACGUG